CGGAAUAACUUCUUAUCCCCACCUCUCUCCCCUAGUUCCUCAUACAUGCGUCCGAACGCCUCGUUUUUAGCUUCCGUGACAGCCUUCUUAGCUUCUCUUCUCGCCUCCCAGUAUACCAACCUGUUCGCUCCCCGCUCCUCCUCGCUUGAGCUCCCGGCCAACCUAGGGAACGCCGCCUUCUUCACCUCCACUAUUCCCUUGACUACCUCGUUCCACCACCAAGC
rnacentral:lncRNA from 1 species